GUCCGGAUGCAACGCAGGCUUAUUUCCAGUUGAUUUUCUAGAGUCUGCAGUUCCUUGACACCCAUUCCAGAAAGAUCUUGUCCCGUCAACUGCCUGCAAUUAAACAAUGUUGCGUCUGUUUUGACUGAAUGUAUAUAGGGUUUUCGGGGCCAUACCGAUGAUUUUCUUGCAAGUUGUGCAGUUGUUGUCUCAAGCUUGCUGCCUCCCUUUGCCAGAACUAUGGAAUUUGAACUUACAGUUAAGUAAUGCCACAUCAGGUUUGCCAAAAGUAUUAAAAGAGACAUGGUGAAAAGCAUGAUUCCCUAUCAGUGUCAUGGAAGUACUGAAUCACAUGGUAAUAUAUGCAAUUUUAUCUGACCGAGUAUAAUUCAUACAGUAAAUGUUGAAGGGACAAAUAGGUUAUAGAAUAAAACAUAUUCCAAGUGGGAAACCUUUGGUUUUGUUUCCUUUGGGUGCUUCAGUCCAAUGACUGUCAAGGCGCACCCAAAAAAAUUGACUUAGUGAUAUCAGGUUGAACAUAUAUUUAUACACCCCACAUGAUUUGUUGUCUUAGUCAUCUUUAAUUCUCACAAAUGCUUCUGUGAGGCAAAUUAACCUGUUAGCAUGUGAGCUUCUAAAGAAGUAUGAGCUAGAGGCAGAACUGGUCUGGAAAAUGGUGAUUAUUCUGCUGGAAGAAGAUUUCACGUGGCAGUAGAAGGUUGCAGUUGUUUGAUACAGAACUGUCAUUUGGGGUUCAUCUCACAAGUUUCAGUAUUUGGGGUUCAUCUCACAAGUUUCAGUAUAGACUGAAGGAUUUGUAUGUGUUGUGGAUCUUUUUCAGAAGAUGGGCACAGGUACAUGUUCCCUUAGCUCCCAUUAUUCCUUCUGAGUUUCUGUUAUGUUGGUCUUACACAUUCCAUUUUCUGUCCGAGGUUCAAAGAAGGUUAGGAUUUCGACGAGAGCUGUAUGCACAAGAGCUCUUUUCAAAUGGUUACCUACAUGAGAGUUCCUAGCCCGUUUGCUGUUUCUUCUUGGCCCCAACAUUUGCAUCGUUUUGCGGCCUAUAAUCCUCGAGGUUGUUCUGUAACUGCAGAAUUUAGCAAAGUAUUUGAGCCUUCUGUUAGAAGGGACGACGAGCUAUCUUAGUGAGAAAUAUACUCGUGUUGGUUGAUACCAUUCUAGUUGAGCUUUAAUGUUUAGUUCUGUAGUUGAUCUGAUGGGCCAUUUGAAUGUAAAACAAACGGUGCUGCAGACAGCAGAACCUUAGGUUCACCUCAAAUAAGCUUCAAGAGUCAAGUAAAUUGCAGUUCAGUUUGAUGCUCACAAACUAGUUUCAUCAGGUGCACCACUGUAAGGCCAUUUUGGUUGGCUUGGAUUCGUUUAGUAGUGUAUAUAUCUGUCAAGAGUUCUAAUCUGGCUCUGCUAAACCCUACAGUUUGUAUGUAGGCAAUAACAGCAGUUCUGCCAAUACCUUUCAUUGUAUAAAGGCGUUUUCAACACUUGGGGUUGGCACAAUAUCCAUGCCAUUCAACAGGGAUUUAUUAAGAUUUAUAAGAGUUGGUAGAGAUCGAAAUCUUAUCCAUUUGGUCAGCAGUUGAUCAUCGGUGGUGGUGUUCUGUGUCCAAUAGCUCACAUAUUUUCUUGUCUGAGACCUUGCAACAGUAGUUAGUUUGAGGUGAACAGUCUGGAGCUAGUAGUCAGUUUGAGGUGAACAGUUUGGAGCUGGAUCUUGAAUGUGAGGGCCUUUUCCCAGUUUACAUGGGCCGAACUACUAUCACUUUUUAGUUUGGCUGAUGACGAGCCUCCUGAGUCUUUAACUCUAUGAUGAGCCAGCACGAUUUGUCAGAAAAGGGUAUUGCAAAUCUAUGUUGCUUUAGACUUACGCCUAUUAAGUUGAACCCCAUGCUGUCUGCCGAGUCUAAUGCCUUCAGUGGAGGUUAAUUCACAUGAUUCUAAAAACACAUGAAUAUGAGAAACACAUAAUUGCAAUAUCAUGUAUAUUUUAAUCCUACAAGAUUUGGUUUGUUUCACUGCCGCACACUCAAAACAAAGCGUCUUUUCAAGAGGUUUAGUGGAUACUAAAUUUCCUAUGAUAUGUGUACAAACAAAUUCGUGGAAAAAAAAUUCUUAUAGAAUAUCCUACUAAUCAAAGGACCAGACAUAGGAAAAUUUUGUAAAUAUACCAAUCCUUUGAAUUUCCCAUGAAAAAUCCUUUUGAGAGAGGCCCUAAGAGGUUUGAGUCGGCUGAUGAUAUGUUGAUUUGGAGAUAGAACUAGAUCCCUAUAGAAUUAAUCUUAGUCCGAUGUUUUGAAAGUCACUAAAUCCUCUAUGUAGGGUCUGGGAGUUGAUAGAUGGAUCUAAUGAUUGAUGGAAGGUGAAGCUACUAGAUCAGCAAUUUUAAUGAUAAGAGAUAAGGAGGCAAUGCUACGUAUUUCAGCAAGUUCUUGAGUACAAGAGGAUUUUGGACCACACAUCAUUAGAAAACUGGAUGAUUCUUUGUGUGGUCGUAUUACUGUAUAAUCACUGAAACUAAGAACAAGCUGCUUGAGCCAGUUGCAUGUGGUGGAAGAAUAAAAAGUUUGCCCGGUGAUCUGGAACGUAAAGAUCCCACAAAGAUUGGUUAUUUGCAGCACAUACUGACGAACUAUUCAAGGGAUGAACGACGAUGGCAAUUUUGGUUAUUGGUGACUUGGCAGAGGUUUUGACGACAGCGUCGGUGAUCCAGUGGGUAUGUCAUGAUGAUGAAUUUCAAAAGCCAAUGUUGACCAUGUGUUUCAUCAACAAAUAAGCAAUAACUGGAUGGCCUCGAAUUUUUGGCUAUGCUGCGGGGAUAGAUGAAGUCGUUAUUUUCAGGAGAGGAACAAACUAGGAGAAGAAGUGUAUCUCGCCUAAGGGGCAUCUUGCCAAGAUUGACGCUGAUGGCAGGCUGUCAUGACAAGGAGAUUGCAGACUUGUAAAUUGAAACGGAGGAAGUACCCGGUGCAGGGACAUGGAAGGAUAACUUGUGGGCUCAUUGGUCCAAGUGCUCGAAGGCCCUACUCAGAAUAAACGGAAUGUCAUGUAUGAGGCUGCCUCCUUAACCCUUGAUCUUCGGCUCUGAGAUGUCCUUGGACUAACUUGAAGCUCUCAAAGAUUCUUACUGAGUUUCUUAGAAGAAAGAUCACUUUCAGGAGGCCUGUUUCAGCUUUCGGAGAGGGACUAAAACACUAAAGCACAUGUUCUAGUGGAAGUUGCACAUGUUCUAAGGAAACAUCCUCUUUUUACCCUUGAUAUCAUACCUUUGGAAUAAAAGUCUCUUGUUUGUAAAGAGAGUGUUUGCUGUACUGACACGUAUAUAUAUCAAUUGGUUUCACUAAAAAA